ensembl:lncRNA novel transcript
GCCGGCAAGUGCCUUUACUGGAGAUCAUGGUGGAGGACACAAGCAAAAGACAGGGUCUCGCUCUGUCACCCAGGCUAGAGUAUAGUGGCACCAUCAUAGCUCGCUGCAGCUUCAAACUCUUGGGCUCAAGUGAGUCUUCCACCUCAACAUUUCCAGUAGUUGGGACUACAGGCGCUUGCCACUGCACUUGGUCUACCUGAGAGACUUUUAUCUGCAUAAUAAGGUAGUCUUAACUUAUCAUAUAUUUCCUCUCCUCACACUCUCAUAAUGUGUCUCUACUACCCACCAGAAGCCCCAAACUCCUAUUCCUUUCUGUAGCUCAGAAUGGUGUAUAGCCUUCAAUCAUCUGGCCAUUUCUUUGAGUCUCAUUUUUCUGUGUGUGAGAUUCCCAUCUGUAAGUAUGUAACUAACAUAAUACUUGUUAUGUGUGAGUUAACGUACUACAAGUUACAUACUUAUAUGUACAUACUGGUAAAUUGUUAUUCUCCUGUUAAUCUGUUUUAUGUCCAUUUAAUUUGUAGACUAGCCAAAGGAUCUAGGAAGGUAAAGGGAAGCAAUUUUUCCCUUCUAUACAUCACCCUACUUACAGGAAGAGAUAAUGGGACAGCACCAGCCCUGCCUUCCUGAUAUCAAUAAUCUGAUAAGGAAGACAGUCAUGGAUAUUAACAGUAUAGAGUUAAGCGCUUAGGCAGAGGUAAACACAGACUCCUGUGGGACCAUUUAGAAUGGGUACCUAGUCCAUGUUUCCGAAUUCAGAUAAAGCCCUCUUGAGAAGAGAUAUUAAUAUACGAAUGACAUGUUAGUAACUGAAUUUCUGAACCCUCAAGAAUAAGGACUAGGCCUUUGACUGUGGCAAAGUUACUAUUAUAAAAGUCACCUUACGAGACUUCUUGGCUGCCCACCAUCAGCCUGUCACAGUUGUGACACAACCUUUGCCUGGUGGCAGUGUGGUAUGAAAGGGAUGAAGUCAGAGUAAGGGAAAAGAGGCAAAGCAAAAGCUAUUAAUCUCUCAGGUGAGUUUGAGGAUGAGCUUCUGUUAUGCCUUCAACUGUGUUCAUGGAGUUAUGUGUGGAUUAAAUAAAGUAUGUAUCAAGAUCCUUAUAAAUCCCCAAGUGGUUCAUUUAUUAUUUGCUAUUUUUAUUUUCUCAGGGAUGUUAUGACUUUGUUCAUUAAGGCUUAUUCAUAAUAUGUUUAUUUCAAUUGACUAAAAAAUUUAAUAAGCAUUUCCUGAGGUGCCUAACACUGCUAGCCAGUAGGAUGCUGCAAUGAAAAAGCCUCUGCCCAAAGAGACGCAAAUCCAGAUACAGAUGGAAGACGUAAAGAAACAUGUGCAGUUUGUGGUGUGCCAAGGUGAGACGGAAGAGAAACUUCUCCUAGGGGCCUGCGGGCCCCCUCAAGCAUGGAAAAAAAGAAAACUUUUUGUUCCUUCAAGGAAGAUUCCAGGCACCUAGUUAGCCCUGAGAAAUAAAUAAAUGACUUGAUAAGUUAAAACAAUAGCCAAGGAAGUUAGAAUCACAGGAUGUUCCCCUACAGAAACUAAAGAUGAUAUCUUAACAUAUGUCUUUAAGUUGCUUUUCAGAAACCUGGAUGUCCGCCAAAUGGAUUUGCUGUCACGUAGACCUCCGAAAAGGGGAAACUGAGGAUUGAACUCUGACCACUGUUCUUUGUUCUAAAUCUCUUCCUGAGGGACCUGGAAAAGGUCACACCCAUGAGCCAGAGCUAACGUUCUUUUCUGCUGACCCCAAAUUUUUAGACAAAGCUUCCCCUUCUUAACCAAUUGCAAAUCAGAAAACAUUUGAAUCUACCUAUGACCUGUAAGCCACCCACUUCAAGAUAUCCUGCCCUUUUAGGUCAAACCAAUGUGUAAUCCCUAUAUAUUGAUUUAUGGUUUUGCUUAUAACUUCUGCUUUCCUGAAAUUUACUCCUGCUUUUAAAAACCCUUACAUGCAAGCCGUCAGGGCAUUUGGGAUUUAAACUAGAGCUGCCCGAUUCUCCUUGCUUGGCACCCUGCAAACAAAUGCUCUCCUUUCUUCUGCUGCAAACCUCAGUGUGGCUGUUUUGGCCUUACUGUGCCUGGCGAGCAUAUCCCAGUUCAGUUUGAUAACAAAGGGUGGCUUAGAGGGCUUUAAUAAGCCCUAGUGCAAAAUCUCCAGCAGCAUCUCUAAACCACCCAAACGAUCACCCAGUUUAGAUAAGUUAGGUAAGUCCAUGUAUUUGCCAAGCAACUACAACCUAAAUGUAAUUAUCCUAGUUUCAAAUACCCACUUCAAGCAAACUGUCUGCCAGAUGCCUCCUCUCCCUCCGUCACAGGGUGAUAGGUGCAAUGAUAGAUUUAAAAGAGGGAAAGGAGUCUGAGAAAGAUCCCAGUUGGGAAUCAUGUCUGAAUUGGAUUUGAGGAUCCAAGGAUGGAAGCGAAUACUAGGUAGAAAGAACAGUCUAUGCCUCAGUAUAAAACAGAGAUAGCAAGAGCCUUUGGUAGCAAUGAGACUAGGAGACAGUUGUCAUCCAGAGAGACAGAAAAAUAAAAGUAAUAAGGGUAUCAGGUAGAAUGCUAAAAAGCUUGAACUUCAUCUGUACAGAGGAGGAAAAUAUCUAGGCGUUUUCAUUGACUCAAAUCUAAGAAAGAACAUUUUGGUUAUUUGGAGACUGUACUGGCCGGGAAGGCAUUAAAGGAAGGGGGAUUAAUCAAGUCAAGCAAGUAAGAGACAUGUUUACUUUGCUCAUAUUGAGUUUCUUAGUUCUCUAAUUCACACUACCUUAAAACCUUCAAGGCAUAUCAAAAGCUAAGGCACAUGAUACAGACCAUUUCACCUUGCCAGGUUCUUCUUCUCAUACUAGCUAGCUUAGUACUGUUUGUGUCUCAGCAAAAGUAGUCGUUGGUGGUGUUUCAUCUUAAAGCUAUUUUGCAGAAAUCCUAAAAAUUUUUAGUCAUCAUCAAUUUGGCAUAAACAAGUUUUGAGGCCAUCUUGCUGGAUUUGUUUUUAAAUCAGUGUGGUUUUCAUAACAGGAAGUAAUUCUUGUGCUUUUUUUAUGAUGCAUCAUAAAAACAACUACUCAUUUAAUAAGAUAAUGCAACAAGAGCCUUGGAUGCUUCAUUGGGUAAUGAAUAUCACAGGAUUCUUUCCAAAUCAGCAACUCUGAGCAAGAGAAAAACAGCAGUGUUUAAACAGUGAAGAACUUGAAUAAGGAAUUAAUGGGGUGGAGAAUUGCUGCUUUUAAGCUGAAGGGAUCCCAUAACCACUCCUGCAAUCAAACAAUUUCUAUUCAGAAUGAUUUUUCUGAUUGAAGGAAGUGAGACAUUCUUGCAUGUAACUAGCCUAUCCACAUUUAACUAAGUGUACCCCCCACCCCCCGUACACACACACAUACACACACACACAGGAGUCUCACGGAAGCCAAUUUCCAGAGAAUGAAGAUAUAGUGUGCUUUCUGGAAUUAUUGACCACAGUGAAACACCUCAAGCAAUUUCUUGCAUUUAAUAUUCAUUUCUCAAGCAUUGGCCCUAGACACAAAGCAAUAUUUCCUCCUUAUGCAGUUUAUUUCUUUCAAAACCUUGAAGAAUGUUGUAAACAAGCCCCCCAGCCCUGUGGUUUUUGCUAAGUCAGAACAUUAAACAUUUCAUCAAUGAUUGUUCUUAAUAAAUGUGUGUACAUUGGAGACUUUUGUUUCCUAAUUGUCCAUAAUUAUAGCUCUUUCACACACUCUGAGAACUCAAAAGACAAAGUGAAAAGACAGCAGUAGUUUAAACCUAGACUGUGUAUAAAUCAAAUACAAGAAAAUAAAAUAAAUGGCAAGGCUUCUUAAAAACAGGUGUAUGAAAGCUUUAGUUAUUUAAACAACUCAUGCU